UACAUGUGGGGCAAGCGUUGUUCGGAAUUACUGGGCAUAAAGGGUGCGUAGGCGGCUUGUUAAGUCAGGGGUGAAAGUUUUCGGCCCAACCGGAAAAUUGCCUUUGAUACUGGCGAGCUUGAGUGCGUGAGGGGUAACCGGAACGAGUGGUGUAGCGGUGAAAUGCGUAGAUAUCAAGUGGAACACCAGUGGCGAAGGCGAAUCCCUGGAAAAUACCUGACACUGAGGCACGAAAGCUAGGGGAGCAAACAGG
rnacentral:rRNA from 1 species